UAGCGAUAGCUAAUUGCAAAUAUCGACUUAGUCGAAUAAAAUUCUAGGUAGAAUUAUGAUAAUGACAUUAUCUGCCUAUGUGUCUUGACCAAAUUACGUGCCAGCUGUCGCGGUAAUACGUAAAAGACUAGUGUUAUUCAUCUUUAAUAGGUUUAAAGGGUACCUAGACGGUAAAUCAAGCACUAAUUUACUAGAGUUAUUUGUGAGGGGGCUCUAAGGUACUGCUGGUGUAGAGAUGAAAUUCUUUGAUACCUUUUUUCGACGGCACAGAUAUAGGUGAAAACAUCCCCUUAUGUAAUAACUGACGUUGAAGGACGAAGG
rnacentral:rRNA from 1 species